rnacentral:rRNA from 1 species
GAUGAGCAUGCGUCCCAUUAGCUAGUUGGUAAGGUAACGGCUUACCAAGGCUACGAUGGGUAGGGGUCCUGAGAGGGAGAUCCCCCACACUGGUACUGAGACACGGACCAGACUCCUACGGGAGGCAGCAGUGAGGAAUAUUGGACAAUGGGCGCAAGCCUGAUCCAGCCAUGCCGCGUGCAGGAUGAUGGUCCUAUGGAUUGUAAACUGCUUUUAUACGAGAAGAAACACUCCUUCGUGAAGGAGCUUGACGGUAUCGUAAGAAUAAGGAUCGGCUAACUCCGUGCCAGCAGCCGCGGUAAUACGGAGGAUCCAAGCGUUAUCCGGAAUCAUUGGGUUUAAAGGGUCCGUAGGCGGUUUAAUAAGUCAGUGGUGAAAGCCCAUCGCUCAACGGUGGAACGGCCAUUGAUACUGUUAGACUUGAAUUAUUAGGAAGUAACUAGAAUAUGUAGUGUAGCGGUGAAAUGCUUAGAGAUUACAUGGAAUACCAAUUGCGAAGGCAGGGUACUACUAAUUGAUUGAC